GGCACCCAGCAAACAGAGCAGAAAGGACAGACAUGGCACCUGAGUCUAGUGAAGAAAACGGACGGUGAAAGGCAUAUGAUAAGCACUUUGAUAAACGAGUAACUGUGCUGAACUCACCAUACUGAUUUCUGGGACUCUGGAACAACAGACAUCUAUAAAAAUCUGAUCCUACUAAACCUUGAAUGAAGAUUUCAAAUCUAUAUGCAAAUACACAUAGGCAUUAUUGUUUUGCAGAUGGAAAAAUGAGGGCUCAAGUCAUAGACAUAUAUGACGGCAGAGCAAUGAGAAAAUCCUGGG